rnacentral:lncRNA from 1 species
CUGUCUAUCAAAUCUAGGAGCGGUCGCUCAAAAUCGAUGCCUAAUUCUCCCAUUUCUAAAUCAUGCCCUAGCUCUUUUCCGAUCGAUUCAGUUCAGUUGUCUUCGCCGCAUGUGGAAGACCAGCGAAUCAGCAUCAUCUCAUCUUUCUACACACGAAGUCUAAAGUAUGAAGUCAGCGUCCUCUCAUCUCUCUGUUCUCUCUCAAACAAAAACCCUAAUAUUUCUCUAUGAAAUCGCUGCCGCGCACUGGUCCUGCCCAGCAUGCCGUUGUAAAUCGGCCACGCCUCUCGUUUAUUCUACUCUAUCAGAAACCGCCGCCGCUAUUGUCCUGUGAUUCGGCUAGAGUCGUCGUGCCGCUUGGUCACCGGGGUCGUUCCCUCCCUUUCGAAUUCAGGGAGAUGGGGCUUCCUCCCCCGUCCUCUGAGUUCCGGCAGAGAAGGGUAUGCCAAGAUGCCGUUGUUGCUAUUUUUCCGG